rnacentral:tRNA from 1 species
GACAGGCUGUCCGAGUGGUUAAGGAGUUUGACUUGAAAUCAAAUGUGCUCCGCACGCGUAGGUUCGAAUCCUGCGCCUGUCG